rnacentral:lncRNA from 1 species
UGAGAGUUGGGUGGGGUUCUGCGUCCCACCAAUAGGGGGAAACAGGGACGUCUGGAAAGGAGGAGCCAAGGGUUCUUUCUCUUUUUGGACCCGGCCAGGAGAGCUGCCUGUGGCACAUCCAGGACCAGGUAUGUCAGGGUGGCUGUGAAUACUGGAGAGACCAUGGGAGUGGUGAGGUCAUGGCUGCAAAUGUAAGUUAGGGAAACAUCAGGGAUAAAGUGACAGAAUGUGGGACAGAGAGAAGUGACUGGCUGAAGCCCUGAGGACAUCUAAAAGGGAGGAGCAGAAGACAGAGCAAAAGGAGCCAGGAGGGGGCGACCAGGAGGUAGAAGCUGUACUACAGCAGAGUGGGAGAAAGCGGGGAGAAGACAGGAAGGGGGAUCUGGGUAAUUAUCAUGAUUAAUUUGGUGUGAAAUGACCCAGGAAAGUGCAGGGUAAAGUGCAGACAGGGAGAUGAAGACAGGGAAUGUCACCCUGGACUCUCGGAGAGCUACUGCACAGGCGGAUUGAGAGCCACAAAUCUGGGGCAGGGAGAAGAGACCCUGGAGGGCCAGCCCCGGGGCUUGCUGCUGCCCUCACCAGGCUGCCAGGACUCCCCGCUGGAGCCAGGGAAGACCCUGGAGGACACGGGGAGGACUCGCAAGUACCAGGCCCUGUAAUCUGAGCGUGUGCACCACCCUGUCCCUGCCUUUGGGGGACAUAGCACAGAUGAGAGGAACAGGCAGGAGGGGGCCUCUGGGGCGGGCAGGCGCCUCCCCUGACGGGAGCCCUGUGUAUCUCUGCACCUGACCAUUCAUCUGCCCAUCCACUCAUUCAUUCACGAGCAUAUCUCACCUCAUGUGCAUCCUCCAAGGCUGCCUGUGUACACUGCGCCUUGAGCUGGGUCAUGUUGAGGCUGCCCCUGGCCCCCACUCAUGUCCGCUGGGACAGCUGGGCAGAGAGCAGACAAUCGCAUCCCAGGGGACACACUUGCUGCAAGGGCACCAGGGCUCCAGCGUCCGGGCAGGUCGGGCACCAGCCCACCUGGAGCGGCCAUGGGGCAGAGAAGGAGUUGGUGAGAGGUGGUCCCGUCCGGGCAGUGCGGCCACAGAGGCUAAGGGAGGGGAGAGGAGCAGGCCCUGCUGCCAUGUCACAAGGCUGUCCCUGCCCCUGAGGGAGCUGAAACUGCAUGGAAGGUCCCCCAGGGGUCUAAUAAACUCGACGAAGAGGACUGCUGCUCUGGCUCAGAGUCUCAGUUAACUCCCUAGACCCUCCCAAGGCCUGGCCUUCCCACCUCCCGGGGACCCAUCCAUCCACCGUGCAGA